rnacentral:lncRNA from 1 species
GUGAGAGAAUAAAUUUCCUUUUCCAUUUGGCAGUCAGUGAAGAAGCCAGUAUUCCCUGCUCUGUGAGAGAGUGGACCAGAUGACCCCUCCAGCUCCCUCCAGCCCUUAAGCUUCUGUGAUCAUUCUUGAGAAUGUCCUGCAGCUUGCAGAGGUCGUAAGGGUCUUUGGCUUUCAUCUUUCUUUUUCUUUCCUCACUGGGUCUGGAGAAGCUAAUGGCAUUAUUAAGAAGAACCUGCAGCUCUGUCUCUCCCUCAAAGAGAUUGAAGAGAAGGAGCAAUUGUUAAGGCAGAAAAUGCUUGGAACUUAAUGAAUCUCAUCUCAGACAUAUUUUGGUUAUUCAGUGGAAAGACAAAGGAAGCCUUCUAUGGAAUGGAUGUGGGAAGACAUGAAUUGCAAACUACAGAAGUUUUAACAGGGCUUUCUCUGAAUGUGGAUAGUGUUCUUUAUCAUAAGUCCAUCAGCAUUGUCUGGAGCAUUACAUUCCUGCUAGUAGAGAAGCCCAUUACAUUCAACUGUGCCACAGUGUAUCAGGCUCUGUGUACAAUGUUCUCCUGGUUCUGCUCCUUUUGCUUUGCAUCAUUUCCUGGAGAAAAAUUUAGCAAUCAGCUCUCCCAAGACCAUAAAAGCUGACUCUAUUACACUGCUGAAUCCAGCAAGUUUUUAAAGAUGGCAAUCAGUAGUAAAUGGAAGACAGGCAGGAC